rnacentral:rRNA from 1 species
CAACUUUCAGCAACGGAUCUCUUGGCUCUCGCAUCGAUGAAGAACGCAGCGAAAUGCGAUAAGUAAUGUGAAUUGCAGAAUUCAGUGAAUCAUCGAAUUUUUGAACGCACCUUGCGCUCCUUGGUAUUCCGAGGAGUAUGCCUGUUUGAGUGUCAUUA